rnacentral:rRNA from 1 species
GGUAAUCGCGGGCCAGCGGGGGGGGUAAUACGGAGGGUCCGAUGGUUAAUCGGGAUUACUGGGCGUAAAGCGUGCGCAGGCGGUUUGGUAAGCGAGAGGUGAAAGGCCUGGGCUCAACCUAGGAAUAGCAUUUCGAACUGGCGAACUAGAGUCUUGUAGAGGGGGGUAGAAUUCCAGGUGUAGCGGUGAAAUGCGUAGAGAUCUGGAGGAAUACCGGUGGCGAAGGCGGCCCCCUGGACAAAGACUGACGCUCAUGCACGAAAGCGUGGGGAGCAAACAGGAUUAGAUACCCUUGUAGUC